UUGCUUCGUUUCAUGAUUGGGCCACAUGUCGGCGCGUCGUUGGUUCAGCUUGAGGGAGAAAAAAAAUCGUAAGGGGAGGGGAAAAAGUGUUCGCAAGCCAGGGGUGGAAACCCUAUCCAUCGUCUCCCUCGUCCUCAUCGUGACCUGCUCCUCCCAUCCGCUUGCGCCGCCCCCCUCGCAUCCGUCGUCCUUCCCCGCUGCUGCUCUCCCAGCUCGACCGCAUCACCUCUUCCCCUCCGGCCAUGACGAGCUCUGCCCUCUCCGUCGCGAGCGGCGGCGGUGUAUCUCAGCGGAGGUUCCAGGAAGGCGCAGGUCUGAGCUCUCCUCUUCUCCGCCGACCUGUGCCGCUGUUUUCAGCUGCCGUAGGCGCCUCCAGUCCCCAUCGCAGCCGCCUCUGGUUCCCACCUCAGCCACCUCUGGUUCCCACUUGUCCCCAAAUCCCAUCUUAUCUAUCGUCUCUCUUCCUACUCAGAUUAGCCCAGGUGGGCGAGGCCAUGGCGACACAGAAGGACGCCGCCGUACGAAUUGACGACGAGGCAAAACCCUAGGCCGUGAACACGUGCGAGUUCAAUAGGAGGCGCACAGCUCUGGUCCGAGCUGCAGCGUCCUUGCUGCUGCAUCAGCCAUUUGCCGGCGGUACUGCGUGUAUUCGUCACCGCAGGUCACCUCUCCAGCCAUCUGCAAGGUAAAGAUAGUCAUGAACAUGUCCAGAUUGUUAACUCGGUUACCCCCCAUUUGGCAUCUGGGGGCAGAGGCAUGUCUGACAAUUCAAACAAUAAGUUUAUGCUAGCCUGUUGCUAUCUCCUACACUAUGGAGGAAGUACUAUUGAACAUUGGGAGUCUGAGAGUGCGCUGCAUAUUAUUUGGUGUGAAAAAGAAUAGAGUGAAGAAUUGAAGAGGAUCAAGCAAUCAGUCAGCACUCAUCAUUGAAAAAAGGAGACAGGAGGCAGUAGGGCACUAUUUUUGUGGAUUUGUCCAUAUAUUAUAGAGGAUGGUGCACUACUGAAUACAAUCAGCGGCUAUCUCCCGUUGGAUUUCUUCUCAUCCGACAUAUGAGGUCCAUUUUAUGGAUCAGUUCUCUGUGUGGCAGUAAUUCAAGGCCAAAUAUGUAUCAUGUUUCUUCAAUGCAUGGAAAGUAUUUCCUUUUGCCUUUUUAUGUUUGUACAUUCAGAGAAAACUUCAUACAUUUUAUUGCUGCAUUGCUAGAUUUCUUUUAGGAGAAAAUAUAAUUUGAUUUUAUUUAUUUUUCAUGUAUAAAGUUUGUGGCAAUAACUCGUGAAUAGUAACAUUUUAGUAUUGUCAAAGUUCUAGAUCAAAAACUUCAGGAUACCUAUCAUUUUAGUUUACCUUGCUAGAUUAGGCUGAUUAGUAUUGUUGUUUUCUUGCAGGUGUGCUUCUCAUUCUUUUGUUGCUAUGUACACUCGCCCAGGUGUGCUUUUCAAGGUUUAUAUUAUUCUAAUUUGCGGUUAUUGAUUUUGUCUUCUGGUGUCAAACAGCAAUUAGCAGAGUGGUUUGGGGAAGUUGAGUAGCCAGUUUAGCUUCCGCAAUUCAUGUGUAUUUUUUAUGCUCUGUCAUGCACACAAGAUUACCUUUCCUGAAUUUAGCUCCAACCAACAUUAUGACGCACUCCGUCUCUCCCUCAUGCGGCUCUGGCUGGCAUGGCCUCGCUUGCCUCGGUCUUCGUCGGCUCCGGUGAGGUGGGCCGUGGGUGUCAGCCCCGUCCUUCAUCGGCGGCGCGCUGGCAGUUCCGUUUAGGUCUGGAAUCAUCUCCUUCUCCCCGUGCAGCUCAUCCUCGCCGGCAGGAGGAGCAUGGGCCGCGGCCGUCACCUGCCAUGGCACCCCCGUCGUGACCCUCAACGCCAAGAACAAGUCCACUUGCAGAUUCAUCAAGAGAUGAUAAAAGGGACUGAGACGAGGAGAGAUGGCACUGUAGAAUUUCCUGCUCAUGUAUUAUUCAAAGUCGAGUUGACUGAAUUGCAGAAUUGCACUAGUGCAUAUGUGCUUCUGCAGCAGGUCACGGUCCAUUUUCCCCAGUAGCUCUUGGUGAGAGAUAAAACUAUGUUGUUCCAAUGAAUAGAAUUUUCCAUUUAUAUAUGAGGGCUUCAUUAUUCUCUAAAAUCAAUUGAAGAUUGAUCUGAACCAAGAACCAACUGUGUAUCCGACGCAGGGUAAGCAUGAUUGGAUGGUGUUCUUCUUGCUGGAGUUUUUAUCCAUGACCUCGGGAAAAAAAUCUUGCACUAUCCAGAUAUAUGAUGCUACAUACGGACUCAGUAAUUUGUGUGGUGUUUUGCAACUUCAAAGUUUCAAUUGUAGCCUGAAUGUGUAAAUACGAAAGUGUGACUUUAGUACCAAAAAAUGCAUUCUUCACUCUUCAGAGAGCAGCUGCAGGAUGCCGGCCAGCAGCGCAACAACCUCUGCCGCGCCGAUGAACCACAUGCCAGGGUGCAGCCAGGGCCUUUCCUCUUACUACCAGGCCGCACGGCACACGGUGCAAUGGUGCUUGUUGUAGCCUAUGAUACGAUAUGCUCAUCCUCAGUUCGUGAGGGAGGGCAAGUGCAGAGGAUGCAGACCAACAGUAUAGCUGCCUGCUCUCCUUGGUCUCUUCGUUGAGGUCCUGAAGGUUCCUCCCUCUCUCAUUUUGUCUCUUAUAAGUACACACACAUUAGUUUAGGUCCCACGUGCUUUUGAUACUUUUUUGAGAGGAAGAGAGCCUCAUAUUAUGGGGUUAACACCCGAGAAAAGUCUUGUGUUACAAGGUCUUCUAUUACAUCAUGUAGGAGAUUUAACCAGCUGCCACCUGAUCUCGCUAAUUUAGCAAGGCAAUCUGCUACCCAAUUGCUCUCUCUUUUAGCAUAAACAAUCUGGAAAUCAGUAAACAACUUCAGCAAGGAUUUGGCCUCUUCAUACAUAGCCCACUGAAUCGAUCUGUUCAACAACCGUGAUCGCAGUGCCGCUCCAACCUUGGCACAGUCCAGCUCAACGAUGUGCCUUUGAUACUUGGUUUCUAUUUUCAUGCCAUUUUUCAAAACCCAGGGUUAACAUAGACAUAAGAAAGCAAACAGAUCACAUUUUAGCGCACUUAUGAACAAGACCAUCACCCUUGGUUAAUGCUUAUUAUUUGCCAGUCAUGCUCUAAAGCGAUCAAUAUGUUACAUUUUUUGGAACAUUACUGAUACAAUAUUGUGGGUUUUAGCUUCUUUUUGUAUAUAAAUGUUUUCUGGGGUAUUUUCUCGGUUUUGAGUUUGUUUGCAUGCUUACACUUCAAUUUUAGAUUUGGAGCUUUUCCCAGAUGCACACAAAUAUAGUCUAUGAAGCUUGAAAAGGCUCAUCUUUUAGUAUGCUGCAGAGAGUUAAUGUUUUGAUUCUGAAUUUUCUCAAAUAUAUAUGUGAUGUGACUGUGCAGGUAGAUUAAUUAAAUACUUUCAAAUGGAGUCUUGGAGAUGAAAAGAUAACAUGGGGUGUAUUAUUUUCUAUUUUUGUUGGAUACCAUGGGGAGAAUUUCUUACCAUCUUUUUGCUGCUCUAUUUACUGGGAAGGAGCAUGCAUUUAUCUCUCUUUUACUGGAAAGGAUCCUGCAUUUAUCUCUCUUUUACUGGAAAGGAUCCUGCAUUUCUCUCCCUUUUACUGAGAUGCUAGGUCUGUUGAGGUGCUUCCUGUGUUGUUCAGAUGCUCUGAUGCAGAGAUGCUAGGUCUGUUGAUGCAGAUAUUCUUUAUGUACAAGGCAAGGCUGGUACCUUUUACCCUUCCUUACUGGACGUUGUUGAGAUUCCAUCUAGAGUCAUGAUCAAGGCAGCUUCCAAAACCAUUGUGCAACAUUAUACCCACCGAGAGCAAAAUGACGAUGGCAUUCUAUAAGCCAUAUACAUCAUUCUGUUGGAGAGAAGUCCCAGACCAGGUCCUUCGAGCAAGCAGUGUAUAGGUUGUCGACUAUAUAGUUAGUUUGUUGUAAGACAUGUUGUACUAAUGAAGAUCUACAAAGUGUUUCAUCUAUCGGAUAAUUUUUUCAUUUGAUUUCUACAGAUGCUUAAUAUAGUGUUUUACAAAUUGUUUACCGUGGUCA